rnacentral:tRNA from 1 species
GAGGGUGUUAUAAGACUUGCUAACUCUUUAAUCUGGAACCAGCCACCAGCACCCUCU